rnacentral:rRNA from 1 species
GGCGAACGGGUGAGUAAUACAUCGGAACGUACCUUAUCGUGGGGGAUAACGCAGCGAAAGUUGCGCUAAUACCGCAUACGCCCUGAGGGGGAAAGCGGGGGACCGUAAGGCCUCGCGCGAUUAGAGCGGCCGAUGUCUGAUUAGCUUGUUGGUGAGGUAAAAGCUCACCAAGGCGAUGAUCAGUAGCUGGUCUGAGAGGACGAUCAGCCACACUGGGACUGAGACACGGCCCAGACUCCUACGGGAGGCAGCAGUGGGGAAUUUUGGACAAUGGGGGCAACCCUGAUCCAGCAAUGCCGCGUGAGUGAAGAAGGCCUUCGGGUUGUAAAGCUCUUUUGUCAGGGAAGAAACAGCAGCUCUAACACAGUCUGCGAAUGACGGUACCUGAAGAAUAAGCACCGGCUAACUACGUGCCAGCAGCCGCGGUAAUACGUAGGGUGCGAGCGUUAAUCGGAAUUACUGGGCGUAAAGCGUGCGCAGGCGGUUAUACAAGACAGGCGUGAAAUCCCCGGGCUUAACCUGGGAAUGGCGUCUGUGACUGUAUAGCUAGAGUAUGUCAGAGGGGGGUAGAAUUCCACGUGUAGCAGUGAAAUGCGUAGAGAUGUGGAGGAAUACCAAUGGCGAAGGCAGCCCCCUGGGAUAAUACUGACGCUCAUGCACGAAAGCGUGGGGAGCAAACAGGAUU